rnacentral:misc_RNA from 1 species
UCCUCGUUAACCGAGGCAGUCUCGUGUGAAAAAUCCAACACACGACAAGGGUUGCGCUCGUUGCGGGACUUAACCCAACAUCUCACGACACGAGCUGACGACGGCCAUGCAGCACCUGUCACCGGGCUCCUUGCGGCACUCCCUCGUUUCCAAGGGAUUCCCGGGAUGUCAAGCCCUGGUAAGGUUCUUCGCUUAGUGUCGAAUUAAACCACACGCUCCACCGCUUGUGCGGGUCCCCGUCAAUUCCUUUGAGUUUUAGUCUUGCGACCGUACUCCCCAGGCGGGGUACUUAACGCGUUAGCUUCGAUACCCAGGGGGUCUAUGCCCCGAAUACCUAGUACCCAUCGUUUACGGCGUGGACUAC